UUCACCCAGUCUGUGGGUUCCUCCACUUUCUUAAUUACUCCUAGAGUUGUCAUCUUAUCAAGCUCCUUUUUUAGUUUCUCUUUCAGUGGCGUGGAAACCCUUCUCGGAGCGUGAACUACAGGGCUUUGUCACCAAGGAGAGACUGAAGAUUAUCUGGAACUACAACAAAGAGCAGCGGCCGCAAACGUAAAAGUAUUGUAUACUUCAAUCGCUUGAGGUCCAGCAACUGUCAAGAGCAACGCUAUUUUCCUUGAGUCCGACUCACCAUCCAGACCAACAGCUUGCAUAUAGCAUGAAUUGCUGCUUGAAUGUCCACCAACUGUUAUCAACACUCCCAGUGAGUUUCAGAGAUUCCGGUGGUUUGACAGCAUCCAUCUUUGUUGUAUCACAGGACAGUUCACUCCUGGUACCUUGUAGUGUUUAUU